rnacentral:lncRNA from 1 species
UGGAGACGUGCCCCCAACCCCACCGCCAUUCACCCUGUCAUUGCAGGGGAGAGAACAGAAUAAAGACGGGUACAUUUUCCAUCUCACCUCUGAACCUCGGUUAGGAAAACGCUGUAGCCCUGACUAGUGGGCUCAAGGGCCGACUGGAAAAGGGCGAGUCAGCGUUCAAAGCCGAUUCGGGGCAGCCCUCUCUAACGCAGAGGGCCGAGGAUAAGAAGACGACAAUGUGUUAGGGGCCCUCCGGGCUAGGACUGUCCUCACCACUUUGUACAUUGCCAAAGUAAAUAUAACGUAGAGGUCAAGCGCAGGCGCUUUGUGGGCAGACAUGACUGAGCUCCACUCGCGACUCCUCUAAUGGCGUGCCAGCUGCGGACCUCAUUAGCCCCGCCUCAAUCAUUCAGUAUGUUUUGGUUGUCUACAGUGUACGAAGCCCUGUUCUCACAAUUAGAUAAAAUGAGUGUGAAGUGCUCAACAUAAUUCCUAGUGUAGUAGGCCUUCAAAGAACUAUUAUCAUUAUUAAUUACUCAUAUAGAAUACAACUUUAUGAAAUGAUAGGAUCCCAUUUUAAGAUGAGGAAAAUGAGGCUAUCAGAGACGUUAAGGAACUUAAUGUCACACAGUUAAUAAACGAUAGAGGUGCGAUUUGAACACAGGUUGUCUAAUACCAGACCUGCAUUUAUAACUGCUGCUUCCCAAGUUAUAGAUAUUUCAGCAUUUUAUGUAGUCACAAUUGAAGACCAAAUAUUUAGUUACAGACUAAGUUGGCAUGUUAUUACUGAAUAAGAUGCUAAGGUAUCUACUAAAGAUUUUAAGUGCAAAAGGCAUUAGAGAAGAAUUUACUGUGGAUUUUUUGCAGGUUCUGAUUGUAAUUGUAUCACCUUGAGAAAGGAGGAAAUGAAAGCAGAUUAUCAGGCAUACUUUUUUAACUCUAAGCAACUUUUUGCAUUACUUUCUAAGGACCAUCAGCAACAAAAAUCAAUGGUUUCUAAUGUUGAUAUAUUUUCCUCUACCAAAAAAAUUAAAGCAGCUGAGCCAACAAAAAUUCUCUGUUUUGGAUGUGUUAGCAUGAGGAAAUGGCGAAUAGGAAAUGAGCUUUUGCUUCUCAUGUAGGAACCCUGAAGGAGUCAGAUUUGGGAGGGGUUGAAGUCUGCUUCCAACAGAAGCAGGGGUGGAGAAGGGAAAGGAAAGACUUCUGGUGUCCUAAAUGCUAGUCCCAAAGUGGGGAUGCUGUUUGUCCGGAUAACCCUUGUAAAUCUGCUCCAUUCUGCAGCUACUCCUGGGAAACUUAACUCAGCCAAAUAAUGCAAACAAUUGCAUCCAUCAUCAGCCACAUCAGCCUUAGGAGAUACAUCCAUAUCAUGAGAAAACACUACCUGAAAUUGGGGACCACUGGAGGAUUAAAGAACAAGGAGAUGGCUGGCUAUUUAAGAAGGAAAGGCAGAGGCUGCAGAAAUUGAGCCUAACGGCUUAUCAGAUGGGAUGGAUAAUUCUUUAAGUUUAAAAGAACUACUCAUUUUCCCCAACAUCUGUCUUUGCCAUCUUCCUAUCUAAGGAACCUUUCACUUUUUAGCUGGGGACAUAGCUUUCUGGUAUGAGAACUACACUGCUCAAACUUCCAAUCAGCUUGUAUGCACUUGGUGAAUCUUACCUACCACAAACAGAAGUCUGGAAAGUGAAAAUUUAUUUCCUUUUCACCAUGACCAGCCUUGUUCAGAACAUCUGAGAGGCACAGACCUGAGAAAGAAUCCCCAGGCUGAAGAGGUAGAAGUUGGCAGAAGUUAAAAGCAAUGUCUCCACAAUGGAGAAGUGACAUGCUAAAGGAACCUGGCAUCUAGACAUUUCCUAACCCCCAAUCCCUCCUUACAUAUGACCUGCUCUUAGAGGAGUACAGCGUGGUGGUUAGGAGUGUGGACUCGGCAGCCAGAAAUCCUGGGAUCUGUUGCUUGUUAGCUGUGGGCCUUAAGCUAAGAACUUAACCUCUCUGUGCCUCAGUUGCUCCAUCUGUUCAAAUGAAGAUAAUGAUAAUGAAGAUGAUAUCACCUGCUGUGUAGGAUUGUUAUGAAAAAUCAAGAAUUAAUAUUUGUAAAUCACUUACAGGGUCUGGCACAUAAUAAGUGCUGUGUGGGUGUUUGUUAAAUAAAAUAAUAUACAAUGACAUAGGCAUUGUGGUUGUUCUUCCUAGUCUCCUAAAGAAGCAGUUGUUUCUGAAACCUUCCCAAACUCAAAUAUAGCUGAAGUUGCUCAAAAUAUCAUGUGAAAAUCCCUCCUCUUCACCAGCCCCUCCACUGUAGAGGCUUCUUUGUGCUCACAGAAGCCCUAUAUUUCAGUGGUCUGUUCUGGAUGUCUAAACUUCUCAUAAGAAGUGAUAUUUUAUGGGGCCCGGUGCAGUGGCUCACGCCUGUAAUCUUAGCACUUUGGGAAGCCGAGGCAGGUGGAUCAUUUGAGGUCA